UACGUAGGGUGCGAGCGUUGUCCGGAAUCACUGGGCGUAAAGGGCGCGUAGGCGGCAUGCCAAGCGUGUGGUGAAAGCCCGGGGCUCAACCCCGGGUCGGCCGUGCGGACUGGCGUGCUCGAGCACUGUAGGGGCGGGUGGAAUUCCGGGUGUAGCGGUGGAAUGCGCAGAUAUCAGGAGGAACACCGAUGGCGAAGGCAGGUCUCUGGGCAUUAACUGACGCUGAGGAGCGAAAGCAUGGGGAGCGAACAGG
rnacentral:rRNA from 1 species